AGUGUUUCCGCGCGUCUACGUGAGAGGAAGGUUGAUGGCUUUCAGGCCCGCUGAACAAUUGCUCUUGAAGUCCUGAGCCACCAUGGAAGAAGUCUGCCAACCCUGCUUUCCAGUGACUGAGUUGCAAGAAUCCUUCAAGAUGCCAAAAAGAUGACCCCAAAGUGAGCUUUGUGUGUCUCCGAGACCACAUAAAGAAGCUCUGAGACCACAUGGAGAAGAUCAGCCCGGCUAAGCCCACUUUUCUGGCUGUCCCUGCCAAGGCACUUGGCAUGGCAGUGAAGCUGUCUUGGAUUUUCCAGACAAAUUAUACUGCCAGAUGAAUACCAGCAUGUGAUCUUAGUUGACACCACAUGAAACAGAAGAAUUUCUCAGCUAAGUCCUCCCCAAAUUCCUGGCCCAAAACAUGAUGGACUACUUUACUCAUUUACCUGCCUGGCCCAUAAACAAAAUCUGAGUCUGCUUAUUCCCUUCCUUUGAAGACCAGCUUGGGUAUCUCCAGUGUUUUCCUAAUGCAAAUUAAAAUUAACACACCUCUAUUAAAAAAAAAAAAAAGAUGCAGCUAGGUGCAGUGACUCAUGCCUAUAAUACCAGAGCUUUGGGAGGCUGAGGUGAGAGGAUUGCUUGAGGCCAGGAGUUCAAGACCAGCCUGGGCAACACAGUGAGUUUCCAUCUAAAAAAAUUUUUUUAAAUUAGCUGGGCAUGUUGGCAUACACUUGUAGUCCUACCUAGUCAAGAGGCUGAGGAAGGAGAACUGCUUGAGCUCAGGAGUUCGAGGUUACACUGAGCUAUAUGAUUGUACCACUGCACUGUAGCCUGGGUGACAUAACAAGAUCCUGUCUCUAAGAGAGAGAGAGAGGAAAAAAAAAAGCAUCUUUCUUGUUUGGAGUCUUGGCUGGGAGGUACAUGUUAUACAUCAGAACUUAGGUAGGAAUGGAAGGCCCAAGAAUUCACUGUGCUGUCCGUAAAAGGAUGCUAAACAUGUUUGACUUGACAAAUUAUCACCACUGCAGCUACAUUUAAAAUACAUUAAUCAUCUAAUAUUCUUAUUUGCAUUUUAUGUACAACUUAAGUUUUCACUAAAAAGUAUUAUUAAACAACAGUCUAAGCUUUUGUGAGAACUGUAAUUUGGAACAACUAGUAAAACAUCUGGAAACUGAACUGGUGGUCCACAGGCCACUCUGAAUCACAAAAGUGUUUUAUUUGAUUAGCGGUUAGGGGAAAAGUAAGUGGCUUGUUCUGUUAAAUGACAGGAUUUUGGUGGGGACCAUUUUGAAGGGCCAGUUCUCAUCCAAACCAAGUUCAAGGUCUGGUGGGAAGAAAUUCUGCCUUGCCAAUUUCAGAUGCUGGACACUCACAAAAUUUCAAUGUCAGGUGAGAAGCUAUUAUGCAAAGCCUUUUCCAUCCAUAUUUAUCAACUUCCUAAGUUCUCUUUUGAGUGGAUUCUCUGGUGUUGAAUAAGGAAUGAACGUUAAAGAGAAAUUUUACUAUACUGAUUACACUGAAAGGGUUUCUUUCCAACAUGGAUUCUGAUAUGAUGAAAAAGCUGAAUUCUGACUGUGAACUUUACCACACUUGUUACACUGGUAGUAACAUAUCUCCCUGGUGUGAAGCCUCUGGUGCUGGUUGAGGACUGACCACUGGCCAAAGGCUUUGUUGCACUUGUCACAUUUAUUAUAGGGUCUCUCUCCAGUAUGGAUUCUCUUAACGAUGAAUGAGUCCAGUGUUUGCACUGAAAGCUUUCCCAUAUUCUUCUCAUUUAUAUAUCUAACUCCAGUGUGAAUUAUCUUAUUUGCAUGAAGCCUACACUCCUGAGUAAAGGCUUUCCCAUACUUGUUACAUUCAUAGGAAUCCUCACCAGUGUGAAUUUCUGAUGCUGAAUUAGGACAGAGUUCUGAGCAAAAAUUAUUCCACAUUCAUCACUGUGGUAUUUUCUGGAUAUUUUCCUAGUCUUUCCUCAUACAUUUGGACAUCUACACAAAGUUCUCAGGAAUACUGCCAUCAAAUCUGACAGUGUUUUCCUGUUGGCAUGUUAUUUCAUUUCUUUUGUUUGGGAAGAACAUUCUCAUUCUUCAUUUUGAUCAAAUCAUCUGAAAGAAGAGACUGAAAAUGUCAGCAUAAUUCACUCAUUCACAUAUACUUUACUCAAUCACUUGCUCACGAAAUAAGCACUUUUUAGAACUACAUGCCAGAAGAGAUAACAGAAGGAACUUAUGUGUAUAUCCACUGGUGGCAUAACCAUAUAAAAGAAUAAUUAUUUCAUAUGUCCUUAAAGCAGUAAAUUUUUUUUUUGUAUAGCCCAAGUGAGAUAUAUCUUAAGAACAAAAAGAACAGAAAACAUGUGUAUACACACACACGCCACCAUUAAGCUAUUUACAGUAAUCAUAUUUGUGGGUAAUGCGAUGUUUUUUAUUAUGAGGCUAUUGUGUAUAUAUUGUGGGACAGCAAAUGAGUAAUUAUUUGAUGUUCUAUCAUUCCUGGUGUCUUUGAGAAUCCUCUAAAAGGAGAUACAGAUGAAGAUAAGAGAUUAAGACCCCGAAGUAGUAAAUGUGAAUUAGAACUAUCAAUGUGAACUCAUGAUACACACUUUCUUUUAAAUUUUUUCCUAACUCUGAGUACUGGAAAGGCCUAGGACCAAUGACUAAGCCAUAAGCACUCCUAAUGCCCUAUUUUUGGUUUUGAAAUACCAUUUCCCAUUAGGCAGAAUGGGGGGUCCUUGGAAAAAGUAUUAAUUCUAGGACUAUGUAAGGAAAACUAUAAGAUGGGCCUCGUACAUCUUAUCAUACAGGUCAGCAAGAAAACUAUCAAAGAUGACUAGGUUCAUGUCAUAAGGAUUCACAUGCCAAACUGAAAAGGUUUCUACUGCUCAAAGAGGAGACAAAUGAGCUUUAGUAAGGAUAGUAUUAUGGACUGAAAAACAUCAAAUAACGCUUCAAUCCAAAAGUUCCUAAUGAUACUAUUACUAACAACUGGUCACUGUUUUAAAGGAUGACUACAAACUAAUUCAUUGUUUUGAAAACUGAUUUAAAAAGCAAAGUAGUGGGGAGUGACUUAAGCAAUUAUCUUGCCUUUCCUAAACAAACCAUUGAAUAACUAAACAAAAAAUCAGGGGAAAUGUCUCUUUAUAUAACUAUUCCAGCUUUAUUAAAUGAAGAAAGAAGGAUGCAAUUAGAAUGUCACCAUUUUGGGACCCGUAAUGGAUUACUGGCUAUAGGUAUUGAGGAUCAAUAGCUGCUAACACCACAGAAAAAGAGACAAACAGAAAAUAAUAGGCUUCAAAUAGAACACACCAUCUUGCCAAAAUCAUUAAAUUUAUCUGGUCAAAAAAACUUAAAACUUGAUUUUGAUCAAGCCUGUACAUUACUACAAUUUACAGAAAAUACAGAGGACAACAGAACAUCUUAGACUAUAGCACAUGAUGCAGACAGCAAAACCCAUGCUGUGUGCAACUCUACAGGACAAACAACUUCAUUUUCUUUAACAAGUGAGUUGGAAGAGAAAACAGGAGAGGGUACCCAUAUAUUAAAAGAAACUUAGGAGACAUAUCAACCCAUCACAAUGUGUUUUCUUCCUUGGAUCUUGAUUCAAAUAAGUUAAAAAACAAAAUGAACAAAAAAAAGUUUAUGACAUCUUUGAGAAAACUGGAAAAUUGAUAUUAAGGAAUUACUGUUAAUUGUUUAGGUAUGAAAAUAGUAUUAUGUUUACAUUUUUAAAAUUCAUAUCUUUUACAGCAAAUAUUGAAAUAUUUACAUUUGAAAGACUAUGCUAGCUCAGAUAUGCUUUAAAAUUAUAUAUAUAUAAAAGCAUGGGAUAUGAGUAGAGUUGUAAGUGAAACAAGUUUGGCCAUAAUCUGAUAAUGUUGAAGCUGGGUGACAGGUUUGUGGGGAUUUAUUAGAAGUAGUACAAUUGUACUUUUAUAUAUGCUUAAACUUUUUUCAUAGUACAGAGUGAAGAAAAAAAGAAAAAGAAAAGAGUUUAUGGCUUUUAGUUGGUAGUAUUUAAAAAAAGAAAAAAGCAGCAAUGUAAAAACCCUCUAAGGCCAGUUACAAAAUAAUUCAAUACCCUUGCAGUGAAAUGUAUGUCAGCUACAUAUAGGUAUUAUAUGUAACUUGAAAAGAUAUCCAUAAUGUAAUAUUAAACUAAAAAACAAGUGGUAAACAAUAUGUACUGUACAAUGACAUUUUAGCAUGCAUGCGUGCUUUCCCAGUAAGCAUGCACCUACUAAAGUUUUAUGUUUCCUACACUCAUUUAAAAAAUGUACAUUUAAAAAUUUACUAAUUGCAUGUAGCCUUUUAGUAGUUUUCUAUUGGCUUCAAUAUAGAAAAACAUUCUCCUGUCUUUGCGAUAAGAGGUCUGGGUUAAGGAAGUUGGCAGUAUUAGAAGGGAGAAACUGAACCAUGCAAGGUAACAUGAGUAGCAGGAUUUUUUAAAAAAAACAAUUUUAAGGCAAAGAAGUGAAGAAAGAAAAGAAUCAUAAUCCAGGCUAAAGUGGUAUGCUUAGAGGAACAGGUUAAAAGUGGAAUAGGCAAUAGAGAUUAAAUGAAAGGUAUGCAGAGAUUUUAGUGACAAGGUUCAUUUGGAAAAAUGCAAAAAGACACCAACAUUUCCUAACUUCUUCUUUGCUAUCUCCUCCUCAGCGUUCUCCUUAACAGUGUGAAACUCCCAACAUUCAGAGCUGAGUUGACCCUUUACUGGCUGGAGCCGGACUCCAGUUGAGUCCUAUGAGGCUGCCAGAUACACUAUUUGCGUUGGGACACUUCUUGUCCCCUGUAGGAGGGUGGGGAACUGGGCACAAUUAGAUGGAGUUUAAUGAGGGUGACAUUUGCUGAAAGUUAGAGCUUAAAAUCCCAUUAUUACUGUGGAACACACGAUGGGAGGGCAGAAAGCAGUUUUCUGUCAUCUGCAAGGGCAGGGAUACACAGACAAAGAGGGGAAAAUACACAGGGCCUACAAGUUAAAAAAAACUCACCAAACUAGAACAAAAAUAAAUAACUCUGGCCAAUAACAUGUUAGCCAUUUUCUCUAACUACGCUAGAGAAGUUAUCUCAACUCUCUUAUCUCUCUCUGGAGAUAAUAUCUGCUAUCUGAUAAGACAUUUCUUCAUUUUACCUUUCCUCUCAGAUCAUUCAGCUUCCUCUCCAAGUUCUUCAGUACAGACAGCCUCUUUCCUAUACUCUGGGAUGCUCCUAUACCCAGGCCUGGAGUUCUUGGGCAGGAUGGUCAGGAUCAGUAGUUCCAAGACGUGUUCCUUGCUGUGUAUCACUGGUCUCCACCACUGAUGGCAAAGAACCUGAAGCUGGACCCUUGAGGCCCAAGUAAAUACCCACCAUAUCCUCUCUGAAGAACUCCUGACCAGAAGCUCCCUUUCUGUGUGGGCUAGAUUCUUUAACUAUUUGACACUUCUUUCAUUCUUCUGCAGUUGGUCUGAAUGCAUUCCUGGGUGAAACAGCUCAGAAGACUGGCUCACUGCAGCAGUGCGUAUGCUUCAGGCUGAUGCUAAGGCAUAACACAUCAUUGUUGAGAUCAGCUCCAAACUGGAACAUAUUUACUGAGUGAAUGG
rnacentral:lncRNA from 10 species